GGGGGCACGGGGGGCCUACGGGAGGCAGCAGUGGGGAAUAUUGGACAAUGGGCGCAAGCCUGAUCCAGCCAUGCCGCGUGAGUGAUGAAGGCCUUAGGGUUGUAAAGCUCUUUUGCCGGGGACGAUAAUGACGGUACCCGGAGAAUAAGUCC
rnacentral:rRNA from 1 species